rnacentral:rRNA from 1 species
UACGAAGGGCGCAAGCGUUACUCGGAAUUAUUGGGCGUAAAGAGUGCGUAGGCGGUUCGUUAAGUCUGUCGUGGAAGCCCCGGGCUCAACCUGGGAAUGGCGAUGGAUACUGGCGGGCUAGAGUGCGGUAGAGGAGAGUGGAAUUCCCGGUGUAGCAGUGAAAUGCGUAGAGAUCGGGAGGAACAUCAGUUGCGAAGGCGGCUCUCUGGACCAGCACUGACACUGAGGCGCGAAAGCGUGGGGAGCAAGCAGG